rfam:Schistosoma haematobium scaffold378_7, whole genome shotgun sequence.
ACACUGCUGAGGAGUCCCACAAUAGGGGGAAACGACCGUCCAGUGC